rnacentral:rRNA from 1 species
AGUGGGGAAUAUUGCACAAUGGGCGCAAGCCUGAUGCAGCGACGCCGCGUGAAGGAUGAAGGUCUUCGGAUUGUAAACUUCUAUCAGCAGGGAGGAACCAAUGACGGUACCUGACUAAGAAGCCCCGGCUAACUACGUGCCAGCAGCCGCGGUAAUACGUAGGGGGCAAGCGUUAUCCGGAAUUACUGGGUGUAAAGGGUGCGUAGGUGGCAUGGUAAGUCAGAUGUGAAAACUUGGGGCUCAACUUCGAGAUUGCAUCUGAAACUGCUAAGCUAGAGUGCAGGAGAGGAAAGCGGAAUUCCGAGUGUAGCGGUGAAAUGCGUAGAGAUUCGGAGGAACACCAGUAGCGAAGGCGGCUUUCUGGACUGUAACUGACACUGAGGCACGAAAGCGUGGGGAGCGAA